CACACUCCCCGCCCCUCUGGAGACUGUGCCAGCACAGGUCAACUCUGUGGACCGUGAAUAUUAAAGUUGGUGCUGACCCCAAACUCUCGGUGCUGCUGAGGAUCUUGCAGUGUGGAGCAGGGCUGAGAGGCAGCUGAGUGAUGAGAGCCCUGGGUUCGGGUUCUGGCUUUGCCGUAUACAUGUGUUUGAUUGUGGUUCGUUUUAAUGUUUCUGUAUUUCCCUACCACAUAAUAUGAAGGAGCUGGACGAGAUUAUCCUUGAAAGCCCUUCCAACAACAGUGCUGCCACCACAGUAACAACGGCUUCCCUCAUUUCUCAAGGGCUAGUGCCACACCAGCUACUGCACUACACAAGAAUAAAACUGAGACGCAGAAAGCCUGAGUAAUUUGCCUGGGGCCGCACAGCUGGUGAGGACUCAGGACCAAAGACUCUCCAGGACACGGGGCUGACUGGUCACAGAAGCUCUAACUAGAACCCAGGUGUUCCGACUCUCAGGCCUGUUUUCCACUGCAUCCCAUCCAGAAAACUAAAGUGAGAGCAAUUAACUUUUGACUUAUCACAAAGUGAUAUUAAAGAGUAUGCAGUUAGAACACAUUUAUGAUACCUGGGCCCCGGAUAACGGCAUGCCUACCAUCAGAGCUGAAAAGAUACCACCUGCCACUGAGUGACUGAUAAC
rnacentral:lncRNA from 1 species